AGUGAACGCUGGCGGCGUGCUUAACACAUGCAAGUCGAACGAGAACGGAUUAUAGCUCGCUAUAAUUGUCAGCUAAGUGGCGCACGGGUGAGUAAUGUAUAGGUAAUAUGCCUCUUACUAAGGGAUAACAAAUGGAAACGUUUGCUAAUACCUUAUACUCCUUAUUAACAGAAGUUAAUAAGGGAAAGAUUUAUUGGUAAGAGAUUAGCCUGUAUUGUAUCAGUUAGUUGGUGGGGUAAUGGCUUACCAAGGCUAUGAAACAUAACUGGUUUGAGAGGAUGAUCAGUCACACUGGAACUGAGACACGGUCCAGACUCCUACGGGAGGCAGCAGUGGGGAAUAUUGCACAAUGGACGGAAGUCUGAUGCAGCAACGCCGCGUGGAGGAUGACACAUUUCGGUGCGUAAACUCCUUUUAUAUGGGAAGAUAAUGACGGUAUUAUAUGAAUAAGCACCGGCUAACUCCGUGCCAGCAGCCGCCGUAA
rnacentral:rRNA from 1 species